rnacentral:rRNA from 1 species
UGCGUAGGUGGUCGGGUAAGUCUGAUGUGAAAUCUCCGAGCUUAACUCGGAAAUGGCAUUGGAUACUAUUCGGCUAGAGGGUUUGAGGGGGGACUGGAAUACUUGGUGUAGCAGUGAAAUGCGUAGAUAUCAAGUGGAACACCAGUGGCGAAGGCGAGUCCCUGGAAAACUCCUGACACUGAGGCACGAAAGCUAGGGAGCAAACA